UUUUAUAUAUGUGAUCAAAUAGAGGAUCCAAAUUCUUGUGUUCAUCCAAAAAUUAUUGUCCCUUUUCUUGACUUUCUUGAUACUGUUACAAGGAUUCAAGUCCUUGAACAAAAAGUUGAGCAAAAACCUCCAUCUGUUGCUUGUUCAAAGUCAAACCAAUCUCAAACUCCACCAUCAUUAUUUCUAUUCUCCGAAAGAGAAAAAGCUCCUGUUUUAUCAAUAGAAGUAACAUCAACUUUCUUAGGUUUACCCCAUCCAAAAUCAAAACUAUAAACAUCAAACCUAGGUGACCCGGCAAUAGAAAACAUCCUAUCUGUCUCACUCAUUGUAGAUUGCAUUAUUGACAUCCAAUUCUCCAAACCCUUCAACACACCAUUUUCCAAACCCUUCAACACAUCACUUAUCCCUUCAAGAGCACUAAUAAAUCCAUCAUCUUUUAAAAAUUCCUCGGUUUCACCCAAAACUAAUUUUGACACAACACAAUUUCCAAAAUAAUUUGCAUUAAUUGGUGGAUCCAAACGUGGCCUACAAUCCACACUAAAAAUAAAAGGUACCUUGUUGGAUUUUGGUUGGUCAACUUUUAUCGUACAUGCCAACAAAUAAGCACAAGUAACUGAAAAAGUUGAAAGCUUAAUAACCUUGUUAUUUUUUUCAAUCUUGGAUUGUGCAUGUUUCUUAAGCUUUUGAAUAUCCAAAGGUGACAAUUGAAAAAUACCUUUGGUUGCUUCACCCUUUAUUGUAUUAAUUGUUUCCCAAACCUUCAAGCUUCGAUUAUUUGUUUCUCCACCAAAAUUCAACCACCCUUUUGAAUAAAUCUCAUUUAUCCCUAUAGGGUCUCUUAUAAUGGACCUAUCAAAGAAAGGUGUUAGAUCUUGAGGUAAUGACAAAGAGGGUGUGUUUUUUUCAAGGUUGGAACAAAAAUAAGACCAAGCUUUCAUAAACAAGGUUGAAGAUUUUCCAUCAACAGCUGCAUGGUGUGU
rnacentral:lncRNA from 1 species